CAUUUCCUGGGAGAGCGCCGCACCUCCGGGUGGAGGGAAGCUCAGCCUGGCUGGGCGCGGUGGAGGGAAGGUGACUCCAGGGAGGUAACGCCGAGCGUUCAUUCAGGCCGAAAGGUCGGAGCGCAGGCCACCCCUUUUGUUUGCCGUGAAUGCUAGGGCCUCCACUGGUCCGCACCCGAGUGCCUCAUCCUAUAGGGGCUUUCGAAAGUGGGUAGAGAAAAGAGCCGGGUUGCGCGCACACGCGGAGCUCUUCCUUUUGAGUUGAUUCUGAAAUCAGAAUGCUCUUGGAUUCGACUGCGCUGGUCCAACCUGGAGGAUCAGCUUCUGCUCCUUCCCUCAUCCUCCUGCCCCGGGGCCUUCCACCCCUGUUGGAGCCUUAGAGGUCAGGCCCAUUCCAGUGCUUGUCCCAAGAGCUCUUAGGACUACACGCCGCCUUUACGAAGUCUACGCAGCAUGCUCGUUCCCGGAUUCCUUCAAGAGAAAAAUUCCAAUACCAUCCUUGUUUUAGAAUCCAGAAAGGCCGGAGAACACCUUCCUGGGGCUUCCCACUGAGGCAGGGAAAGCUGUCGUGAAGGGAGCUCGCUUUCUUUGAAGAGAAUCAACUUUUCUACAAUCCCUGGGUGUCUCUCGCCUGAAAUUGCCCCUCGGGUCAUGCUGGUGACGUCUGCGGAGCUCAGAGCGAGAACCAAAUGACAGACACUGAAAGCUGGCACUGUGCUCCUCAGCAAGGGCUGCCUUUUCCCUACACCCUUUGUUGUACUUUGUUUUUCAAACAUUAAGAAAGAAGGACACACGAGGCCCCUAGUGUUCUGUGCUUUAAUCCUGUCAUAGCAAAGUCAGCUUCCACUGAGAAGAGUUUUCUGCUAUUUCAAACAAGCCAGUGCUUAAGGAUCUGGCCUGAUAGCUCCAAAUUGUGCUACAUUUUCCUCUUCAGAGCAGGAAUACAGAUGACUUAUUUACCAAGAGGAAAAAGAAAAACAAUCCUUGAUAACUACAAACAGGAAGACUUUUAAUUCCCUGUACAAUUUAAAUCAUUACUACCAUCCCACGUGUUUGGGAUCUCCUGAAGAGUCAUCAAACAUUCCAGCAAGUCAUUCAGUAAAUAUCUGUUGAAUAGAUAAGUACUAGGAAUUCAAAUUAGAGAAGAUCCUUCUGUGUAAAGCUGUCGGGCAGGACUUCAGGAAGAACCCGAAUCAGAGGCAGAAAGUGCCCGUGUUCCUGAAAGGAUGGAGGGGCAGGCACAGACUCCGAGGUGGGCUCUUUGGAUGGCGUCGAAGAACACAAAAGAACUCUGAAAAGGGGUAUCUUUGGAUGAGAUUUACUUUGAAGUUGGUGGACUUUGAGUAAAGCAGAUCUCUCUUCACAAUAUGUUGAGCCUGAUCAAAACCACUAAUGCUCUGACUGGAACAAAAGGCUGCCCCCUCCCAAGCAAGAGGGAAUUCUCCAGCUGAUUGCCUUUGAAUUUCAUCUGCAACAUCAUCUCUUCCUGGUUCUAUAGAAGACUGCUUUUGGACUCAGAACUGCUGACCUUUCCUACAACUCCAGCCUGCUGUUCUCUCCAUUAAAGUUUAGAAUCACCCAGCCUCCAUGAGGUAAGAUAAGGCAAUUCCUUAAAAUAAAUCUCUUUGUACA